rnacentral:rRNA from 1 species
GUAGGUGGCAAGCGUUGUCCGGAAUUAUUGGGCGUAAAGCGCGCGCAGGCGGUUCUUUAAGUCUGAUGUGAAAGCCCAGGCUCAACCGUGGAGGGUCAUUGGAAACUGGAGAACUUGAGUACAGAAGAGGAAAGCGGAAUUCCACGUGUAGCGGUGAAAUGCGUAGAGAUGUGGAGGAACACCAGUGGCGAAGGCGGCUUUCUGGUCUGUAACUGACGCUGAGGCGCGAAAGCGUGGGGAGCAAACAGGAUUAGAUACCCUGGUAGUCCACGCCGUAAACGAUGAGUGCUAAGUGUUAGGGGGUUUCCGCCCCCCUUAGUGCUGCAGCUAACGCAUUAAGCACUCCGCCCUGGGAGUACGGCCGCAAGGCUG